GGUGUGGGAAAGUCCCGUUUCUGCAAAGCAGAAAUCCUCUUCCUGACUGGUGCAUUCUUCCUGAGAUCCACCAAGAGAGCUUCACUGAACACUCUGCCAGACUCGCCUCAUUGAUGCCAGCCCUGUGUACUCUCCAGGAAUGUUGAGACGCUCCUUCUUUUCCAGAGACCAGUCCCCUCAGAUGGGAUUAUGCUGAGGCAUUUCCACCAAAGGCCCCCUGCACAACAUCAGAGGUUAAUAAACCAUAAGGUUACAAAGUGUGCACUGCUGACACAUCUCUGGGUGGAGAUCUCGUUCUUUUGACUGCUUUCUGUGUCCAG